rnacentral:rRNA from 1 species
UGAGGAAUAUUGGUCAAUGGACGAGAGUCUGAACCAGCCAAGUAGCGUGAAGGAUGACUGCCCUAUGGGUUGUAAACUUCUUUUAUAUGGGAAUAAAGUAUUCCACGUGUGGGAUUUUGUAUGUACCAUAUGAAUAAGGAUCGGCUAACUCCGUGCCAGCAGCCGCGGUAAUACGGAGGAUCCGAGCGUUAUCCGGAUUUAUUGGGUUUAAAGGGAGCGUAGGUGGAUUGUUAAGUCAGUUGUGAAAGUUUGCGGCUCAACCGUAAAAUUGCAGUUGAAACUGGCAGUCUUGAGUACAGUAGAGGUGGGCGGAAUUCGUGGUGUAGCGGUGAAAUGCUUAGAUAUCACGAAGAACUCCGAUUGCGAAGGCAGCUCACUAGACUGCAACUGACACUGAUGCUCGAAAGUGUGGGUAUCAAACAGGAUUAGAUACCCUGGUAGUCCACACAGUAAACGAUGAAUACUCGCUGUUUGCGAUAUACAGUAAGCGGCCAAGCGAAAGCAUUAAGUAUUCCACCUGGGGAGUACGCCGGCAACGGUGAAACUCAAAGGAAUUGACGGGGGCCCGCACAAGCGGAGGAACAUGUGGUUUAAUUCGAUGAUACGCGAGGAACCUUACCCGGGCUUAAAUUGCAAAUGAAUAAUCUGGAAACAGGUUAGCCGCAAGGCAUUUGUGAAGGUGCUGCAUGGUUGUCGUCAGCUCGUGCCGUGAGGUGUCGGCUUAAGUGCCAUAACGAGCGCAACCCUUAUCUUUAGUUACUAACAGGUCAUGCUGAGGACUCUAGAGAGACUGCCGUCGUAAGAUGUGAGGAAGGUGGGGAUGACGUCAAAUCAGCACGGCCCUUACGUCCGGGGCUACACACGUGUUACAAUGGGAGGUACAGAAGGCAGCUACCUGACGACAGGAUGCUAAUCCCAAAAACCUCUCUCAGUUCGGAUCGAAGUCUGCAACCCGACUUCGUGAAGCUGGAUUCGCUAGUAAUCGCGCAUCAGCCAUGGCGCGGUGAAUACGUUCCC